rnacentral:pre_miRNA from 13 species
AUUAGGAGAGGACCUUCUCUGUUUCGGCCACGUGUGUACUCACAGCCCCUCACACACGGCCAAAACAGAGAAAGUACUCUUCUAAG